rnacentral:rRNA from 1 species
AUUGAACGCUGGCGGCAGGCCUAACACAUGCAAGUCGAACGAGUGGCGGACGGGUGAGUAAUGUCUGGGAAACUGCCUGAUGGAGGGGGAUAACUACUGGAAACGGUAGCUAAUACCGCAUACCAUCAGAUGUGCCCAGAUGGGAUUAGCUUGUUGGUGGGGUAACGGCUCACCAAGGCGACGAUCCCUAGCUGGUCUGAGAUGAUGACCAGCCAAACUGGAACUGAGGCACUUUCCGUAGUCCUACGAGAGUCAGCAGUGGGGAAUAUUGCACAAUGGGCGCUAGCCUGAUGCAGCCAUGCCGCGUGUAUGAAGAAGGCCUUCGGGUUGUAAAGUACUUUCAGCGGGGAGGCGUUACCCGCAGAAGAAGCACCGGCUAACUCCGUGCCAGCCACCGCGGUAAUUC